CACAAAGGAAAAAAAAGAUGAGAGAAAUGGGAAAGAGAACUCCAAAAUCAAAAGCCAAGAUGGAAUAACAGGGACUAAACAUACCUCCCACCUGAAACAACCAAAAACUAGGAAAAUACACGAAGAAAGAAAAAAAAAACCCAGCUUUUAAGACACUGGACAUCAGACAACAUAAGAGGCUCUGUAAGUAAGGUGCUGUUAUCUCCAUUUCACCGAUGAGGAAGUGAGAAGGCACGGAGUGGAGGUUAAAAAACUUGACCAAUUCUGGAGUACAGAAGUCUGAAAUGGGUCUCACUGGGCUAAAAUCAAGGAGUCAGCAGGCCCGCAUUUCUUCUGGAGGUGCAAACCCAAUUCCUAGCCUUUUCCUUGGCCGGUGGCCCCUUCCCACCUUCAAAACUAACUAUUCCAAACAAGCUAUGAUUCUCUUGGCAAAACAGCCCCAUCAAGAGUCUCACCAGCCUCUCCCUUGGGAACAUAAAGACUCAGACAAGGGGGAAAAGACAAGGCUAGACACCUGUCCCCAGUGGGAAAAGGAAGAACACACCUGGAAAGCAGCUCUGACAAAGGGAGCCAAGGCGGGGAGAACCGUAAUUGGAGGAGAGAGACUGCUUCCAAUCUGCUGCUGGUUUAGAAGGUAAAUCUACUCCUGGAGUAAAAGGGAUACAGUAGCAGCGCAAUAAAAACCGGGGCAGGGCGUGGCUCUGCUGGAUUGUAUCUCCGGCAGGGCUCCACUGUGAUGACAGUCCCCCCAAGGACGCGUUUCCAUUCUGACCUGAGCCCAGUGUGGAUCAAGUGUUCCGCCCGAGAGUGCCAAGCAUCCUGUGCACAUCUAUCUCAUUGAUGCAUUCACUCAUUAAAGCUGAACACCUAACAUACUCUAAACGCUGAAGAUUAAAAAAAAAAAGUAAACAAGGCAUAAUAGCACUUAUC